GCAGCCAUCCCUGCCACCAACAGCAAGUUCCUGCUCCUGUCAGUUGAAAGCCUGUUCACCUUUGAACUCAGUGGGAACGAGAACUGGGCCCGUGUGUAACUGUGGGAAAGAACUGACUGUAGUAACAUUUCCAUCAGCCCUGAAACUCAAAAACCCGAUGUCAGGUUUCUGUGAUGGAUUUUUCCGAGGCAAAAAUCUGUGGACUGGCUUCACACCACCAGCACAGGGUAUUUUUGGCCAUUCUCAUGCACUGAAAUGUCAUUAAUGCCCAAGAAUGAGCUCCAAAAAGAGAGUCCCUGCCAGGGGCCUACAGAGAUCUUGCAUUUGCUCACUGACACCACGUGCUACCUGAAAAAUUGCUAAAAGCCCAGUUUCCAGAGGUCUUUGUAUCCUUAGAAAUGCAGUUGGCCCCCAGACACUGCACUGUCAAAGGAAAAUCUAACGCAAACAAAAUGAGGUUCCUAAAUCUCAGGGUAACUGGAUGCUUAACCUAUUAAGGUGCUUUUGAAAAUCCCAUUAGGCAUCUAACUCACUUCCCAGCCUGGCUGUGGGUUAAUCCCUGGGGACUGAUCUCUCUGUAGGCAUCUCCCUAUAUUUUUUGAGUGCAAUACACAUAAUCACAAUAUCCAUGUAAAGUAGCAUAAAAUCUCCCCACAGGAGGAACAAGACAGGCAACCCCACUGUUUAAGGCUUUUUACCAUAGAAUUUCCACGUUUUGGCCCUGAGGGCUGCGUUUGUACAAACCCAUGUUGACACACUCACUAAUCUUGGGAGGGCUUUGAGCAAGGAAAUUGUAUGUAAACCAGAGGCAUGCCUGCAUAAUGCAAUCAUAAACAAAGUUAAGCAAUAUAAAAAUACAUAUAAAUUUUCUGUUUAUCUUCCUAUAUCGGGUGCUGUAAAAAGCUUGAU